ACUUAUUCACACACCUUAUAUAAAUACCCAUUAGAUCCAACGUUUUGAAUCUGUUCAUAACAUUGAUGGAAACGAUAAUAAGCCGAGCAAUGAAAACUAUAAAAACCGUAAUUAAAUUAAUGAUCAAAACAAAUGAAUAUCAGGUUAAAAUUUUAUUACAUUUUAAUAAUCAUUUUUAUAGUUUUCAUAUCUAUACAUUCAAAAUCGUUAUUUUUUAUAUAUGUAUUAAUUGAUUGUUAAAGCUAUUUAAACAAUAUCCUAGGAGUGCACGAAGUAGUUUCCCAAAAAAGAAAACAUGAAACAUAUUUUAUUCUUCUUUGUCGUAUUGCUAGCAGCAAUUUCCAGUCUGCAAAUUGUGGUCAAGGCCGAAGAAGAUGACGACGCCUUUGGACAUCACAAGCAUUCACAAACACGUCGAAUUCGAUAUAGAAAAAAAAAUACCCUUGUGAGCUGAAUGAGUAUUUCAGAAUAAAUGAAUUGAAAUAAAAAUCUAAAACCUA